AGAGCGUAUGGUGGAUGCCUUGGCACUAAGAGCCGAUGAAAGACGUGAUAAGCUGCGAAAAGCUUCGGGGAGGAGCAAAUAUCCAUUGAUCCGGAGAUUUCUGAAUGGGGAAACCUACUUGAGCAAACCUCAAGUAUCCUAACGCCAAUCCAUAACGUUAGGAAGGGAACCCGGUGAACUGAAACAUCUAAGUAGCCGGAGGAAGAGAAAACAACAUGUGAUUCUGUGAGUAGCGGCGAGCGAAAGCGGAAGAGCCCAAACCGGAGUGCGUGCACUCCGGGGUUCGGACCGCAGAAUUGAUUCAAUAAGUCUAGCAGAAUGGUUUUGGGAAAGCCAGCCAGAGAGGGUGAAAGCCCCGUAAGCGAAAGACGAGUUGACAUGGCGGUAUCCAGAGUACCACGAGACACGAGAAACCUUGUGGGAAUGAGCGGGGACCACCCCGUAAGGCUAAAUACUUCUUAGUGACCGAUAGCGCAUAGUACUGUGAAGGAAAGGUGAAAAGGACCCCGGGAGGGGAGUGAAAGAGAACCUGAAACCAUAUGUUUACAAGCUGUGGAACAUCUUUAUAUGAUGAACCGCGUACUUUUUGUAGAACGGUCCGGCGAGUUACGCUGGCUGGCGAGGUUAAGCACUUCAAGGUGUGGAGCCGAAGGGAAACCAAGUCUGAAUAGGGCGUGAAGUCAGUCAGAGUAGACCCGAAACCGGGUGAUCUAUCCAUGUCCAGGUUGAAGUUGCCGUAAAAGGCAAUGGAGGACCGAACCCACAUCCGUUGAAAAGGGUGGGGAUGAGGUGUGGAUAGGGGAGAAAUUCCAAUCGAACCCGGAGAUAGCUGGUUCUCCUCGAAAUAGCUUUAGGGCUAGCCUCAUACGAGUCUUGCGGAGGUAGAGCACUGAAUUCUUAAGGGGGCGUCAAAGCUUACUAAGAGAUAUCAAACUCCGAAUGCCGCGUAGAUGAUGUAUGGGAGUCAGACUGCACGAGAUAAGUUGGGUAGUCAAAAGGGAAAGAGCCCAGACCUACAGCUAAGGUCCCAAAAUGUGUGUUAAGUGGAAAAGGAUGUGGGAUUUCGAAGACAACUAGGAUGUUGGCUCAGAAGCAGCCAUCCAUUAAAAGAGUGCGUAAUAGCUCACUAGUCGAGAGGUCCUGCGCCGAAAAUGUCCGGGGCUGAAACACACUACCGAAGCUUAGGAAUUAACGAAUGUUAAUUGGUAGAGGAGCAUUCUUAAAGAGACGAAGCUGUACCGAAAGGAGCAGUGGAUUUUUAAGAAGAGAGAAUGCCGGAAUGAGUAGCGAGAGGAAGGUGAGAAUCCUUCCGGCCGAAUAUCUAAGGUUUCCAGCGUAAAGCUGAUCUGCGCUGGGUAAGUCGGGGCCUAAGGCGAGGUCGAAAGACGUAGUCGAUGGAUAACAGGUUGAAAUUCCUGUACUAUGAUAUAACAGAACUGUGGGGACGCAGGGAGAGAGCGCGAGCCGGGAACGGAAAGCCCGGCGCAAGCGAGGUACCGGUCUGUCAGGAAAAUCCGGCAGACAACGGGAAGACGUGAUGCGGACCGAAAAAGAGUAGGGAAGAGCGUGAGCUAACUGCCAAGAAAAGCCGCUAUUGUUUAUAUCAUACCCGUACCGUAAACCGACACAGGUGGAUGAGGAGAGAAUCCUAAGGCCGACGGGAGAAGCAUUGUUAAGGAACUCGGCAAAAUGACUCCGUAACUUCGGGAGAAGGAGUGCCAUGCGAAUGGCCGCAGAGAAUUGGCCCAAGCAACUGUUUAGCAAAAACACAGGUCUAUGCAAAACCGAAAGGUGAGGUAUAUGGGCUGACGCCUGCCCGGUGCUGGAAGGUUAAGGGGAGAGGUUAGCGCAAGCGAAGCUUUGAACUUAAGCCCCAGUAAACGGCGGCCGUAACUAUAACGGUCCUAAGGUAGCGAAAUUCCUUGUCGGGUAAGUUCCGACCCGCACGAAAGGCGUAAUGAUUUGGGCACUGUCUCAACAAUGCACCCGGUGAAAUUGAAAUACCAGUGAAGAUGCUGGUUACCUGCGCCAGGACGGAAAGACCCCAUGGAGCUUUACUCCAGCUUGAUACUGGGAUUCGAUAUUGCAUGUACAGGAUAGGUGGGAGACUAGGAGACGGUAACGCCAGUUGCCGUGGAGUCGAUGUUGGGAUACCACCCUUGCAGUAUUGGGUUUCUAACCAGCAGCCGUGAUCCGGCUGGGGGACAAUGUCAGGUGGGGAGUUUGACUGGGGCGGUCGCCUCCGAAAGGGUAUCGGAGGCGCUCAAAGGUUCCCUCAGAAUGGUUGGAAACCAUUCGAAGAGUGCAAAGGCAGAAGGGAGCUUGACUGCGACACCGACGGGUGGAGCAGGUACGAAAGUAGGACUUAGUGAUCCGGUGGUAUAAAGUGGGAUUGCCAUCGCUCAACGGAUAAAAGCUACCCUGGGGAUAACAGGCUUAUCACUCCCAAGAGUUCACAUCGACGGAGUGGUUUGGCACCUCGAUGUCGGCUCAUCGCAUCCUGGGGCUGAAGUAGGUCCCAAGGGUUGGGCUGUUCGCCCAUUAAAGC
rnacentral:rRNA from 1 species